rnacentral:rRNA from 1 species
AAGGGUGGAGCGCGGCGGUCCCUGCUCGCUCUCGCGAGGGCGAGCUGGGGCGUCGAGGAGGGCGGCCGGUGCGGGACGGGGAGGGGGCUCGAGCGGAGUGGGAGGGGACGUGGAUGGAGGCGGCGGUGAGGGCGCGGUUUCGGGGGGGCUGCGUCCGGGCGGUGGAGCUACGGCAGUGGGCUCGGCCACUGGAGCGCGUGGGACCGGAGGGGAACGGGCGCGCGGACCGGCGCGGCCCCGGUCCGAGCGGUGGAGCCGCGAGCCGCGAGCAGCGAGUAGGGCCGGUGGAGAAGUGGCGGCCUGGAGCGGCCCCGAGGCGGUUUGGGGAUGGUGCGGCCUAGUCGGCGCAGAUGGAGGAGACGGGGCGGCCAGUAGUAGUUGCUGGGUCGUGUUGGUGGUGGUGACGAAGAAGCAGAAGCAGCCCGUGCGAGGGCUCGAGUGAUACGACCUCGGGUCCUCGAUCUGCGGUGGCAGCUGCUGCUGAGAAUGAUGUGGCCUCCACGGAUGAUGAUGCACGUCCGGCGACUGCUGCUGGUCCUCAUCAAAUCCUCCUAGGGUCCGUCCUCCGGAUGCGGAGAAAGCUAUACAUAGGGUCAAACACGAUCGGAAGAAUUCCGUUUGAACAAAUUGAAUACAGACAUGAGUCUAUAACAACGAAGGCGACUGAGCAGAUACUAGCUCGUGAACAUAAGCUCGGGAGCUCCGGGGACCGAACAUAAUACUACGAACAUACUGAAUAAAUACAAAAUCUCAACACAACACUAUAGAAGGGC